rnacentral:misc_RNA from 1 species
GUCGAAGGUGGGGCUGAUGACUGGGGUGAAGUCGUAACAAGGUAGCCGUACCGGAAGGUGCGGCUGGAUCACCUCCUAACAGGGAGACAAACAACGAUUUUGAUGUCUGAGUUUUUUUAUUCUUAGGCCAAAAUCCUGUCACCUUAGGUCGAUCGGUACCUCAACUUUGAAGCUAAGAGUAUUCAGCAAUGGAUAUCUGCUUAGUGGAGAUUUUUAGUUCCUAAACUUUGUCUAGUUCACAACCCAUUAGGGAUGAGACUCCUGGGCCAUUAGCUCAGGUGGUUAGAGCGCACCCCUGAUAAGGGUGAGGUCCCUGGUUCAAGUCCAGGAUGGCCCAUUCGGUGUAGGGGGUUUAGCUCAGUUGGUAGAGCGCCUGCUUUGCAAGCAGGAUGUCAGGAGUUCGAGUCUCCUAACCUCCACUGACUACCAAAAUCCCCAUCUCCAAAACCUGGAGUAUGAACUCGUAUGGAUUGUGAUUUAGAUGUGUCCGCUAGAUGACCCUAGCUUCUUGUCAUUUUAAGGCAUGGAAAUAGUUCCAUGAUAUUUAAUUGAUAGGAUGCUGGGCUCGAUUCAAUGUAUUGAGAGAUCAAUGCAUUGUUUUGAUGUCUGGUCGAACCUUGACAACUGCAUAGUAAGUCUGGAAAGAAUAAAGCAUCUUUAUGGAUGCAUCAUUCUUGAGUGUUAAUUCACGAUGGGAUGGUGUUAAUUCUAAAGCAAGAGCCGAGACUCCAGCAUGUUCUUUCAAAUGUGUCGAGCAUUUGAGAGUUUGAUUUUAAUUUCUAUUUUUAGAAGUUAGAAGAAUCUGUUUCAACGACAGCAAGCGUGUUGGAGAUACAUUGGUCAAGCUACAAAGGGCUC